rnacentral:tRNA from 1 species
CUGGUCGAUGGCGAAGGCGUGCCAGGUCGGGCUGGCGCCCAGACCCGGAUCGGCGAACGUGUUCGUCCGGCGGAUCGGCACCGUUUUGGCCAGG